UACGUAGGGUGCAAGCGUUAUCCGGAAUUAUUGGGCGUAAAGAGCUCGUAGGCGGUUUGUCGUCGUCUGUCGUGAAAGCCCACGGCUUAACUGUGGGUCUGCGGUGGAUACGGGCAGACUAGAGGCAGGUAGGGGAGAAUGGAAUUCCCGGUGUAGUGGUGAAAUGCGUAGAGAUCCGGCGGAACACCGGUGGUGGAGGCGGCACCCUGGGCCGAAGGCCGGACGCUGGAGGCGCGAGAGCGUGGGGAGCGAACCGG
rnacentral:rRNA from 1 species